GGCUAACAAGCACCUCAACUUUCUAAAAAGGCUACCAGAGCUCAGUUGGAGCAGGCUGCUGAGGAGAGGAAUGCAGGAACCAUAUAGGACUCUGCAACAGCCACUAAUAGGUAGGAAGUGGCACUAUUUGCCAAAAUCUCCUUGGAAAAAGCACUGGAAGGAGUUGCUCUGUUAAAGGGGCUUGGACGCAGAUGAAGAACAUGUAAUUGUGUGAUUAAUACAGAAAGCUCCUAAAUAGCAGAAGAAAAAGGGAGAGGGAGAAGAAUAGUUCACAUGAUUUUUCCAUCUAAUGUAUUUAAAUCCACAAACAAAGCAUGGCUGACCAGUUCUUAGCCAGGAUACAAUCAGAGAGCCCAAUGUGCAUGGUUUCUUUGACUCUUCAGGUGAAGGAUGCCAAAAUGGCCUUUUAUUUUUGCUAAUAUCUUCUAAAGUUCAAUGACCUUGCUUUGAGGCUGUUUCUUGGAGCUGCAGCUUCUCUCCCUGUCAAGAGUAUUAAAUUGC